UAGUAACGGCGAGUGAACCGGGAAAAGCUCAAAUUUGAAAUCUGGCGUCCUCAGGGCGUCCGAGUUGUAAUCUAUAGAAGCGUUUUCCGUGCCGGACCGUGUCCAAGUCCCUUGGAACAGGGUAUCAAAGAGGGUGACAAUCCCGUACUUGACACGACUACCGGUGCUCUGUGAUACGUUUUCUACGAGUCGAGUUGUUUGGGAAUGCAGCUCAAAAUGGGUGGUGAGUUCCAUCUAAAGCUAAAUAUUGGCGAGAGACCGAUAGCGAACAAGUACCGUGAGGGAAAGAUGAAAAGCACUUUGGAAAGAGAGUUAAACAGUACGUGAAAUUGUUGAAAGGGAAACGAUUGAAGUCAGUCGUGACCGAGAGGCUCAGCCGGCUCUGCCGGUGUAUUCCCCUCGGUCGGGUCAACAUCAGUUUUGUCCGGUGGAUAAGGGCGGUAGGAAGGUGGCACCCACGGGUGUGUUAUAGCCUGCCGUCGCAUACACUGGGUGAGACUGAGGAAUGCAGCUCGCCUUUAUGGCCGGGGUUCGCCCACGUCCGAGCUUAGGAUGUUGACAUAAUGGCUUUAAACGACCCGUCUUGACC
rnacentral:rRNA from 1 species